CAAAGAUGCUGAUUUGCAUUUUUCGCGAGGCGUCUUUUUCGGCAUCAGGGAAAGGCGUUGUUUAUUGCACAAGUUUUUUACUUUCUCCGACCAAUAAUUUAUUAAAACAUGAGUUUUAGACCUUGUUGAGUGCCUAUCAGUGCGAUGAUAUUUGUUCUAAACGGUUUCCAAGGUGCUGCUUCCAUAGAGAAUAGCUUCCUGGCAAAAGACGCUUGGUGCAACCCAUAGUCAAACUGUGCGAUAUUCCUGGACCAUCGCUCGAAUAUGUUCAUGGCACAUCAAAUAUCGCCACAGUUCCGGGGAGAGCAGCUCAAAUCACACAGCAUCAGCACCUGAAUUGUGUACUCCGAAAAAAUUAAAGAUGAUAUUCUGGACAGCCCUUUUACAGCUGUCACCAGUACAAAUUCUGCAAGGGCCACACAGUUUCGAGGGUAAGGAGAUUUAAUUUGAAAGCAGGAGUUACACAGCAGAAGCAACAAAAUUUUGUAUUAGGGCGUAAAGAAUUUGGUACAUCGCCAACAGGUGAGAAACCUAUAUGUAAUUAUGUUGUCCAGACACAUACCUAAAUAUGUAUCUGCAUUAGCAAUUGUACUAAAUUAAUGAAUUUGUUUUGUUACUUUGAAUUAGGUAUUUGUUUAAUUUCUGAAUUUUUGAUUCAUAACAUGAUUUUGCUUCUUGAGCAAAUGUUUCUGGUUUCUAUAACAAACACCUUUCACAAUAUAAUGGUAAUUGGCGUUUCGCCUAUUUAUUUACUGCAAUAAAAAUGUGUAAAUGUU